GAUUGAAGAAAUGUUAAUUGUAAUUAUGCAAGAUUUUAUGAAUUAUUAUUGAAAUUAAUUAUUAUGGAUGUUAAAGUUGUAGUGAUUUAAUUUGGCCUUGCAUAUUCUUUAGGGCUUACUCUAAGGAGUGUGCGGCCAUCACGUAUCCGACCCGGGUGUUGGGUUCGGGGUGUGACAGAAUGGUAUCAGAGCAUAGGUUAUGAUCAUUAGGGAUUAUGAUAUAAGUGAUUAGAAUAUUACAGAGUGAUAUUAGAGCUUCGGUUAUGAUCAUUGGAGAUUACGAUAUAAAUGAUUAGGAUGUGAUAGAAUAAUAUCAUAGCUCAGGUUUAAGAUCACCAGAGAUUAUGAAGAGAUAUUA
rnacentral:lncRNA from 1 species